UAUGCUGCACAUGGAAGCAGGGCCAGUCUUGGCUCCAGCCACAAGGGAGGUUUAAUCUCUUUAAUCUGUUCUUCAUCUUCUAGAACCGAUGUCUGCACACCAGGGUGACUCAAUUCAGUGCCAGGAGGGCAAGCUGCUGUGCGUGACCAAGGAAACCGAGAGCGGGCUGCCCUUGUGAACUUGCUGAGUGCCUGAUGGAGAUCAGGAGAAGAGAGCUGGGGGAGUAGGGAAAGCAUUGCUUCUCUCCUGCUUGUUGGCCGAGGCAAGAUUGAUUGGCUGCACUGGCGAGAGCACAGCGCACAUCAAGGAGAGCAGCUCUGAAUGUGACAGUCUGCAGACUUGGGCAUCAGUUCAGCCAGCUUCCUCAUCUCAGCGUAUCUGCAGAUCCACCCAGCAGCCGUGGUGUCCCCUGCGCUCCAGCAGCACGCCAGGGAGCCCGAGGGGAUGGCAGCAAAGGGGGCACACAGAGGGAAGAGAAGGGAGUCACUCAAAAAGUCACACCCACACAGCAUCCCUUGGCCUUCAGGAGGAAAACACCCUUCCCAAUCCUACACAAAAACGCAGAAAUCUGACAGAGAGAAGCCAGAGGUCUCUCCUGGAGGCUGGGUUUUCAUCCUGGAGGCAGAAGGUCCUUGCCCUUCCAGGAGAGCUGUGCAAUCUCUGCAGGGCUCACAAAUGCUAAGUGAAGAGAACACGAUUUUCUAAUCAGGCAAUAAAGGAGUGGGACAACACCGCUUUAGCACAAUAUUCUCCUCUGCAUCAUUUUUCCUCCAGAGGAAGCACUAAGGGAGAUCUUCAAACUGCAUCCAGGCCACAGCACAAGAAGGACAUGGGCAGAGGAGGCCAUGGAGAUGCUCCCAGGGCUGGAGCCCCUCUGUUCUGCAGUCAGGCUGGGAGAGCUGGGGGGGCUCACCUGGAGAGGAGAGGGCUCCAAGGAGACCUCAGAGCCCCUUGCAGUGCUCUGAGGAUGAGAGGGCUCACUGCCCCUGCCACCUGCACCUCUCUGUCCUGUGCCCUCUUGGGGCAGCUUGUCAAAUGACUUCAUGCAGCUGGAGAAAGUUCCAGCUCAUUUAAUCAACCUGCCUGCUGAAACCCCAGGUGGUUCCCAAAAAAGCAGCUGAAUCCAGUCCUUUUUCCUGAAAUGUGAUGUCUGAAUUCAUCUUAUUGGAUGGAUCUGCUCCUUCUUGGACCUCAAGUCUCUGUGCUGGGCUAGAAGACAAUCUCUGCUGCCUUCAAACACACCUCCAGAACUGGCUGAAACUCCAGGAUCAGCACAUCCUUGCUUUGUUCUCUUCUGAAAUGAGGAUCUUAGCAUAUUCAGUGGCAUGCAACUGAGCCAUAAAGCACCUGGAUGGGAAAUCCAGGGCAGCACUUUCCACACAGGUACCUAUGGCUCCGUGAGCUUCAGACAGAACAGGGACUCGGGGCUCUUUGUGUCAGAUGCAUUCACAUUCCCCAGCCAACAGCCCCCCUCCUACACCGAGAGGCUUCAUCUGAUUUUCACACAGCCCUGGGGAAGGCACUGGGCUCUCCCAUUGCUGCCUUUAGAUGUGCUAGGUCACACGUGGGUCUGUUCUCCCGCCGUCACUGUACCGCCGCUAUCGCUGUGACACGGACGUGGGACACCACCUGCCAUGGCCCUGCUGGCACUUCCCACCCUGGGAGGGACUCCUGUCUGCCCAGGGAUGGUACAGGCAUCAGCAGAUGGGGAUGCACAGUCCAGGAGUUUUGCCUUCCUCUUUUUGAGUCACAAAUUGCUUGUGAGCAUGUCCUUUCUGCCCUCAUCCUGUCAAAGUUUUUCCUCCGUCCUUCCAACCAUCCCUUUGUAUUUCCUCAUGUUCUGUGUCUGUUUUCUGGCCCCUGUGUGGGUUGUAGGGUAAAGCACCACCACUCAAACACCCUGUAUCUGCAUCUAAUAAAUUCUCAUGAGGUCACAUCUGCUCUGUCUUGCUCUGCUGGACUGACAGGAGCCCAGAUUUGCCUCCAAGUAUCAACUUUGUCACUUCUGAGUUACUCAGGAACAUUCACUGUCAUCAACACAUGUGUGAUGCAGCCCUAUUCUUCCCAAAGAUGUUCUCCCCUACUAAUGCUGGUACAUUUUUACAGGAGGGAAAUCCCAAACUGCACAAACACACAAAAAGUUCUUUUGUGUCUCUUUUUAUUUGUUGUUGAUGCUACCUUGUUUUUCCAAACCUGAAGAAUGAGCGGUGCAUCAGAACAGGAGGAAAUGACCACACUGAAUGGUAAUAACUGGAUUAAGAGAUUCAGUAGCAGACUCUCACCUAUGCUGUUUAUAAUGCAGAUUAACUAUUUAAUCCCUCUGUUUCUCCAGCUUCAAUUCUCCAUUCCCUUUGUCUUGCUUUCCCUGACAUCCUCCCUCACCCCUCCAGUCCCCUGCUGCUCUGUGGCCCCCUGGCUGGAUCCCUCCUGUGCCUCCUCCUGGGGCUGUGGGUUUGGCCCAUCCCAGAGCUGGUUCUGCUCAGUUAGGCCAUGGAAAUCUCCAAAGUGAGUUGUGUGUGCUGCUGUGCCUGGCCAAUGAGCCCUGCCACUGCUCGCUCGCCAGAACCGCUGUAAUGACCCUGGUGCUGGGGAUGAUUAAUCAGGAAAUGGUAAAGAAAAUGCUCAUAAUGAAGCACUCGAAUUUCUGACUUUACUGGGGGCUGCAAACUCACAAACAAGGUCAUGGAAAAGAAAACCAUUGAGGAAUUGAGGAUGACUAAAUACAAGGGCUUUAACUGUGGGUCAGGAAGUCUCUAAAGCACAAAGUAUUGCAGGCUGGAAGGAGACCAUGGGGGAGUGUUUGACCGUGAUCACACUGUCAUGGGGGAGUGUUUGACCAUGAUCACACUGUCAUGGUGGGGCAUUUGUCCAUGAUCACACUAUCAUGGGGGAGUGUUUGACCAUGAUCACACUCUCCUGUGUACUGGGCAGUGCUGGGGACAGGUGCUGAGCCUUUGGACCAUGUGUCACACCAUAGCCACGACAUCAUUUACCACAUUUUGAUGGUGGAGACAGAGUGGCCUUUGCCAUGUACCACCAGGAACACCAGGCUUGGUGUGUGUGUCACCCACCCCUCCUCUCUGCUUGCAUUGGCCAUGUCCUUGGGGAGCUGCCCUUGGAGAAAAGAGCAGAAACAUCUCCAAACCUGGACUCCUCCUUCCUGCUCAACCGCAGUGCAAGAGCAGGGCCCAGCCUGUCCUAGGUGAGACAGAGACAAUACAAAGCAACACUCUCCAUUUUCAGAAGGCUUCAAACGUGUUUUUAUUAUAACAUGCAUGUUUGUUAUACAUUCUUACAAAACUCCUAAGUUUACACUUUACUCAUUGGUCACAAAAGACAAAGAAAGUGCUCAUUGGAACAGGCAGUUGCAGGUUUCUCUUAUUUCUCCUGCUUUCUUUCUUGGUUUCUAUGUCAACGACCUUGGUAGAAAAUUCUUUCAGAGGUAAACAUGGAUCCUCUUAUCAAACUUCUCUCUGGCUCACAGAAGUCACUGUAAAACCUCUCCCACACCAGCCCAAACACCUCUAUCUUCUGUGGAGAGUCUUAUCCAGUGUUUAAAAUUCCUCUGCCAGCUUGGUGUGGGACCAUGCAGGACACCCUGAAUGCCAGAUUCAAGCUGCAAACAUAAAUGGAGUGAGGUUGGCCUAAAGUCCCAAGCUGGGGUUUCCAGCUCUCUGCACUGACAGUGCAGGCUUCACAUCCUCUUCCCUCUGGAAUUUCUCACAUUCUCAUUUUUUUAUCUCUAUUACUGAGUCCACAUAGAUUAUAUGAAUGUGAAGGUAUGCUUGUUAAAAACCCCAAAUACAUCCCUGAGAUGCAAAGGCUGUUUUCAAAUCAUGGGUUUUAAAGGGGCAUCUGCCACAAAGGGCUGAGGGUGACUAAUACAGCCGCUGGCUGAGAGGAAUCAGCAGCAUUGCUGAUAAGCUCAUUUGAUAAAGCCUUUGCUGGGCACUGCAGAUGCAGGCUGAGUCCAGCCUUUAAUAUCUAUCCCAGUGCCACAGGCAGUGCUCUCAGGGCUGCCAGGAAAUGCUGUAACCCUGUCCACCUCUCAUGCAGCUUUCAGGGAGUCCUGACAAGUCCCCACCGUGUGUUCUUACAUGUCACAGCUGCCACUGACCUGGCCAGAGAUCACCAGCUGAUACCCCAGUAAAUGCAGGCUGGCACCAAGGUUUCACAGGCAGCACAGACCCUUUGUGCAGCUCUGUGGGGUUAUGGUGUCCUGGAUGGCUGAAGCAAUGAAUAAAUCCCAUAUAAUCCUUCCAGCUGGUCACUUGACCACAGAAAAACUCUUCUGUUGGAAGCUGCUGACCUUGCCCCAUGAGAUUGGAUGUUGGGGCUGGGUUAUAACAGCCUUCACCUGCAUGAGCUUGUCCCAUCACCAGAAAUAAGGGAUUUAAUAAGGGAUGAAAAGUGAAUGGAGUAGCUGAGAUUGCUGAAAGACAUUGGGGCUUUAGAAAAGAAAGUAGCAAUUUGACAUGUCAAGUGUUCUGUGACAGAGAAACAAAUCAAAAACAAACCACUGCAGUGCUGUAAAUGAAA